rnacentral:sRNA from 1 species
GCUGGGCAUAGUGGUGCGCGCCUGUAAUCCCAGCUACUCAGGAGGCGGAGGUUGCGGUGAGCCGAGAUCGCGCCAUUGCACUCCAGCCUGGGUAACAAGAGCGAAACUCGGUCUCAAAAAAAAAAAAAAAGAAAGAAAAAGAAAAUGCCUUCUUCAAAAUUAGGCUUUAUCUUUAUAAUGCCUGGUGUUGUGUUUUGUUUUGUUUGUUUUUUUUUUUUGAGACGGAGUUUCACUCUUGUUACCCAGGCUGGAGUGCAAUGGCGCCAUCUCGGCCCACCGCAACCUC